GACGUAGGGGGCAAGCGUUGUCCGGAAUCAUUGGGCGUAAAGAGCUCGUAGGCGGUUUGUCGCGUCUGCUGUGAAAACCCGAGGCUCAACCUCGGGCCUGCAGUGGGUACGGGCAGACUAGAGUGCGGUAGGGGAGAUUGGAAUUCCUGGUGUAGCGGUGGAAUGCGCAGAUAUCAGGAGGAACACCAAUGGCGAAGGCAGAUCUCUGGGCCGUAACUGACGCUGAGGAGCGAAAGCAUGGGGAGCGAACAGG
rnacentral:rRNA from 1 species